GAUGAACGCUGGCGGCGUGCCUAACACAUGCAAGUCGAGCGAUUCUCUUCGGAGAAGAGCGGCGGACAGGUGAGUAACGCGCGGGUAACCUGCCCUGUACACACGGAUAACAUACCGAAAGGUAUGCUAAUACGAGAUAAUAUACUUUUAUCGCAUGGUAGAAGUAUCAAAGCUUUUGCGGUACAGGAUGGACCCGCGUCUGAUUAGCUAGUUGGUAAGGUAACGGCUUACCAAGGCGACGAUCAGUAGCCGACCUGAGAGGGUGGUCGGCCACAUUGGAACUGAGACACGGUCCAAACUCCUACGGGAGGCAGCAGUGGGGAAUAUUGCACAAUGGGCGAAAGCCUGAUGCAGCAACGCCGCGUGAGCGAUGAAGGCCUUCGGGUCGUAAAGCUCUGUCCUCAAGGAAGAUAAUGACGGUACUUGAGGAGGAAGCCCCGGCUAACUACGUGCCAGCCGCCGCCGUAACAC
rnacentral:rRNA from 1 species